ensembl:lncRNA
CAGCAUAUGGUGGCUUUAGCAAACAACGUUUUAAAGCCAACAGAAGCAACGGAAUAGAUUAUUUGCAGAUUUUAAACACAGAAGAUUCAGAUUCAGGAAUAUAUUACUGUGGUGCUAUCUCAGGACUUGUGGUUUGGUUUGGCAACGGGACGUCUUUGGAUUUUGAAGAUACGAGAUUUUCAAGAUUCAAAGAAAACUGGAUGAACUCUGUGGUUGUUGGUUUGGGAGUGGCAUUAGGCGUGUGUGUUGCUGUGAUGACCCUUCUUAUUGCUUCACAUUUAAAGAGAUCUGUGUGUGAUCACUGCAAAGAGACAACUCCUAAUCAACUGCACUGUAACAACCCUGUGCUAGAGGCACCUCAGGGAAGUGAUGCUGAGAUGAUGACCUACUCUUCUCUGCAUUUUUCUACAAAGAGAAAGAAAAAGAAAAAGAAAAAGGGAGGAAAGAAAAAGGACCUGCAACCAGAGGUUGUUUACGCUGCUGUAAAACAUCUAAAAUGACAUAAGAGUACAUUAGUGUUUAAUUCAUUUAAUGUUCAAAUAUACUAGAAAUAUACGGUUGUAAUUACAACACUGUUUGUCCAGUUUAAUGAAACACACAUAUCUGAUAAUAUGUGUGGAUGAAAAAGGA